rfam:Triticum urartu cultivar G1812 contig1225205, whole genome shotgun sequence.
CUAGUACUCCCUCCGUCUCAAAAUUUUUAUCUUAAAUUUGUCUAAAUAUAGAUGUAUCAGGUCACAUUUUAGUAUUAGAUACAUCCGUAUCUAGAUAUAAAAGACAAAAAAUUUAGGACGGAAGAAAUACAAC